rnacentral:lncRNA from 1 species
UCAGAUUUAAUUUUUGGACAGGAACAUUUCAUAGGUGGUGCUGCUGUGUACUUUUUAAUUCAUUACUUCAUAAGGCUUAUAAUGUGAUUGUCUCAAUUUUAUUGAUGCUAAAAUGAUUAGUGGGUUAUUAACCUGAUCACUUGAUUAUAAAGUUCCUCAUCAACCUUUCAUCUAAUACUUUCAGUCUCCAAUUAUGAUUUUUGCAUAGCUCCAUUAUUUUAUUAGAAUUUGCAAAAAUUGUGAUUAUUCUAGUUAUUUUGUCUUUCUCAUUUAUUAGUUUCAAUUCUUGUGAAUAAGAACUUUAUUAACUAUUAAGUUAUAUUUAAGUGCAGUUUGUACUGGAAAAGCAGAAUAAAUGCUUAUAUUUUUUCCUUUAUCAAUUUUCAGACUGAGUUGGUGCGCUAGUAAUUCCCAGGAUCAUGACUGAGAGAUUGUUAAUAAAAGCAUUGAGUGGUGGUAAAAAUACGAAGAUCAUUACUUUGAAUGGGAAGAAGAUGACAAAGAUGCCCUCAGCAUUAGGAAAACUGCCUGGCCUGAAGACUCUAGUCCUUCAGAAUAACCUAAUCCCCAA